UUUGACCUUAAUUGUUCCUUAGGGGUAUUUUGGUCAUCUUCCACCCCUAUAUAUACCCCAAACACAGGAUUAAGGCUUAUUUGCAGAAAAAUAUACUCCUCUUCUCAAAAUCCUCUCAAGAACUCAAGCUAGGGUUUCAAUUUGAAGACCCAAAUUCCAUCAAUUGAAGAACAUAACUCCUCAUUUAUCUUCAACAUCAAAAGAAGGGUUUCUCUCAAGAUCAUAACCUAUAACAAGAAUCAAAUCCUUUUUCAAGAAUAUAUGAUAUUCAAGUUUUUCAAACUCAAGAGCCAAUUUAUUUCUAGUCAAGGAAUCUAGAACAUGUCUAAGAGUUUUUCAAUAAUCUUCCACCUAAGGUAUGCGUAGUGUUCAUCCACGGAUUCCUUUCAUCCGUAGGAGUCCAAGAACCAUGCUUUAAAUACUAUAUUGUGAUUUUCUUGUUGAGAUAUGAUCAUGUACAUGUUGAUGGUUGUUGUUUAUGCUUCAAGAUGUUAAUUUAGGGUGAUUCUCAUGAAGUAUGUGUGCUUGUAGUUAAAACCCAUGAAAUUGGGUUGUUUAAGAUGACUAAAUUAUUAAGAACACCUAUACUAUAAAGUGUGCAUGUAAGGUGUUCGACGAAAUGCCAGAAUUAGACAUAAUCAUGUUUUCAUGAUUUAAGAGUGCUCAAUUAACAAGUCCUUACUCCAUGUUUUAUGAUUUCACGUGAAUUCCAUGUUGUGUGAAUAAAGUUUGAAUUUUUACAUGUUGUUCAUGAUACCAUGAUAUUUUGUGAAUAUUGGUGGAAUUGAGUUAAUUAUGGUGUUAUGGUGUAUAAAAUUGAUCAUUAGGCCUAUGCCCUAAAUAGUGCAUGCAAGGUGUUUGUUAAAAUGCCUAAGUGAAGAAGAAUUGAGCACUUUGACCUAUUUGUGAUCUCAACGAAUAAAUGAUGAUCAAGUACCUAGUCUUCAUACUUCAAGAUUUUGCCAUGUCUCUUAAAUUAUGCCAUGUCUACUUGAUCAAGAUGAUUUAUAUGCUAUUAAUGUGCUAUGAAUAUGUUGUUGGCUUGUCAUGAUAUUAGAAUUGACCAUGAUGUUAGCUAUAUGAAAAGGUUAUGAAAACCACAUGAUUUAUGAAUUCCCCAUAGAUGCUAUAUUAUGGAUUGUUAAUGUUGGUCAAGUACUCUUAUAUGUCAAGUCAUGUCAGUUUUCUUCCAUCGAGUCCUGGGGGUAUUCGUACCCGAAAAAUAUAGCUGUGUGCUUAGAGCCAUGUCAUGUUUUCACGAUACUCUCAGUCAAGCCAUGUUUGGUAGACUUCAGUCAGCUAACAGAACUCAAUAGCAUUUAGUCAGUUAACAGAAUUCAGUAGUGUUUCGCUAGUCAUCGGAACUCAAUAAACUCAGUCCAUGUUCAGUUCAAUUAAACAGAACAAUCAGUAACAGUUCAGUUAAUUCUAGAAUGAACUAGGAAAUCAGUUCAGUAUAAUCAGUUCAGUGUCAUUUAGUUGGGAGUAGGAUUCAGCACCGAGCGAACCCAAGGAUGGGAAUUCACCUGCCAGUAGAGGGUGUGAUUCUUAGAAGCAGUCCUUUCGUUCCAGAACUAUGUAGCCAGCAUAGGUUGAGACAUCAAUACCUUUCAGUUGAGGGUAGAUAAGGUGGCUUAACCUGUUAGAUGAGGGUUCCCACUGUUCUCAUUAGAGUACCUGCCAGAUGAGGGUCACUCACAGCUUAUCCUUACUAGUGGCGCGGUAUUGACACCCUUCCAAUCAGGGCAGAGAUUGGACCCCAGCUUAGCUAUUAUAGCGUAUUUGGGGUAUGUCGAUUAGAUAACUACUUCCCACAGUUUCAGUAUUAGUCUCAGUAAAAAAAAUCAGAUAGCUCUUCAGGAUAUCAGGACUGUCACACACAGUCAACUCAGAUACAGUACGAAACUCAGCUAGUUCCAUCAGACUUAGGACUGUCAGAUACAGUCAUUCAUGCUAUCAGUUAUCAGAACUCAUGUUAUCAGAUAUAUCAGUUAUCAGAAUUCAGUUAUCAUUCAUGAUAUGUUAUCAGUAAGUACAUGUCAUUGGUAUUCAUACUCAGUAGUCAUGUUAUCACGAGCUCAGUUUCAGGACUGUUAUAUACGGUCAAUCAAAUCAGUUCUUCAUAAUAAGAAUCAGAAACAAUCAUUCCUUUAUCAGUAAUAUAGUAUCAGUCUCCCAGUAUUCUGUAAUACAGUAUCAGUUCCUCACUUAUUAGUAAAUUACAUAUCAAUAUCAGUACCUCAGUAAUUCAGUAUCUCAACAUCUAAACUCAGUCAUUCAAUAUCUCAGCAUUAGUAAACUCAUGUUGUCAAUAUUCAGACUCAGUAGUCAGUAUCACCACGAGUUUAGUUGCAGUUAUGUAUGUAUGUAUGUAUGUAUUCUCACAUUCAUAUCAGUCAGCAUUGUUCAUGCAUAUAAAACCCUUUGCAUUUAGCCUACCUCACUCGUAUACUCAGUAUAUUCAGUCGUACUGAUGCAUUCACACUAUGGUGUUUUAUUUGACGCAAUAGGUACAGAGGAACGAGUUUCAGAGCAACAGUAGCAUUGUAAAUUUUAGCAGUCAGUGCUCUUCUUCAUUCGAGGACAAUAUUAUUAUUACUUUAUUACAGUAUUUCAGAUUAGUUUUUUAGUUCAUGGAAUUAGUUGGAGACAUGUUCCUUCAACUCCUUAGUCAGUUUAGUUAGAGGUUUUCGGACUAGAUGUCAGAUUAGAUGUUCAGACUUCAGUAUUUAUUUUUCUUUUUGGUAUUGUUAUACCAUGUUUUUCAGAUAUGUAUCCAGUUCAUGUUUCCGCAUAUUUUAUGAGAUAUUAUGCAAUUUACAUGUACAGAUAUCAGUCAUGGGUUAGCUUGUGGUCCUUCGGGGUCAUGAGCACUUUGUAGCAUUUCGGUUCAGAAAAUUGAGGCGUUACAAGGACAUUUAUCUUCCUUUUUCAAAAAAAGAGAUAAUACAUAAAUAUGACCCUAAACUUGACACCAAAUUAUAACUUUGACUUUAAACUUUGACAGUGCACAAAUAUGACCUUUAUCUAUUCAAAACUGCACAAAUAUGACUUCCGAUCCUACGUGGCAAAACGCGUGCUCAACACGCAAAACUGGGCACAUCCAACUUAAAAUCUAAGGGCAUAAUACAUAAAUAUGACCCUAAACUUGACACCAAAUUAUAACUUUGACAGUGCGCAAAUAUGACCUUUAAAUGACUUUUCACUAUUAUUUUUUAAUUAUUUUCAGCUCAAAGAUGAAAAUAGCAUCUAAUUUCUUUUGUUAUUGCGGCAAAAGAGCAAUAUUGAAGAUUUAUUAAUUAGGUGGGUCAGCCUCAUACGAAAAAAUCACGCGAGUAUGUAUAUAUAUUAUAAAGCAUAGGGCG
rnacentral:lncRNA from 1 species